rnacentral:rRNA from 1 species
CCCUUAGAUGUUCUGGGCUGCACGCGCGCGACAAUGACGUUUGCAACGAGAUUGCGAGGCCGUCAGGUCGAGCUGAUCUUGCAAGCUGCGUCGUGAUAGGGACAGUCGAUUGCAAUUAUUCGACUCGAACGAGGAAUUCCUUGUAAUCGCGAUUCAUCAUAUCGCGCUGAAUACGUCCCUGCCCUUUGUACACACCGCCCGUCGCUCCUACCGAUUGAGCGAUCCGGUAAAUGUUUUGGAUUGGUGCCGGGGCGGCUAGCUGCCGGUCGCUACGAAAUUUUGUGAACCUUAUCGCUUAGAGGAAGGAAAAGUCGUAACA